rnacentral:rRNA from 1 species
CCGUGCCAGCAGCCGCGGUAAUACGGAGGGUGCGAGCGUUAAUCGGAAUUACUGGGCGUAAAGCGCAUGCAGGCGGCCUGUUAAGUCAGAUGUGAAAGACCCGGGGCGUUAACCUCGGAAUUGCAUUUGUAAACUAGGCAGGCUAGAGUCUUGUAGAGGGGGGUAGGAAGUUUCAGGUGUAGCGGUGAAAUAGCGUAGAGAUCUGAAGGAAUACCAGUGGCGAAGGCGGCCCCCUCGGACAAAGACUGACGCUCAGAUGCGAAAGCGUGGGGAGCAAACAGGAUUAGAUACCCUGGUAG